CUCCCCACAGGAAGAGGACAUUGGAAAACCACUGUCCCCACAGGAAGAGGACAUUUUAAAACCACUGUCCCCACAGGAAGAGGACAUUUUAAAACCACUGUCCCCAGCAGAAGAAAACCCUGUCCCGCGCGACCCCACUGACUCGUCACAGCUGGAGCACCACGGGAUUGGGAAGGAGCCGGACGUGGAGUCUCAGCUGGAGCACCCACAGAGGCGGCCCAGGAGUGGCGUGUUUGGAGGGAUGAAAAGAAUAAGGAACUGGUUCCGCGAGCCAAGAGACGAGGCAGCGGAACGGGAACACCAGAGGAGGCAGAUGUACGUGGAGAAGUGGCUGGAAGACCAUUUGUCCUGCAAUUACAACAUCAACGAAGAGAGGAGGCAGAAGGGUGAAGAGCUGGCGCGACAGAAAGCCGAGCAAAUGGAACGGGAGUACAGGGAGAAGUACGAGGGCAGAGACGACUGGAUUGAAGAGUUUUUGCUCCGCAGUCCUUACUGCCCAGUCCCCAGAAAGCCAGAGCAGGAGAGGGACAGGCCCCAGGAGCUGGCCCAGGGGGAGGAGUCCAAGAGCCAAGGACUCGCCCAAGAGAAAGCAGACCAAGAGGAACAGCCGUGCCAAGGGCCAGAGGAGAACGACCAGGCCAAGGAGCUUUCUCAAGGGCAAGACAACGGAGUCCAAGGGCUGUCCCAAGGGCACGAUGACAAACCCUUGGGCCCGGGCAGCGACGACGGCCCCCUGGAGGGGCCCAGCUCUCUCUACAUCCCGAGCAAGUCCCAGCGGCCUCUCUCUUCCAAACAACCAAAAGCAGACACUUCUCCAUCCACCAGUGAGGAGCAGACCCCAGCAGCAUCCCGCAGCUCCUCCCAGGGCAGCCAAGUUCUGCAGGACACAGUCCAGCCCCUCAUCCACGACAUCCUGAGCAAGGCUGUGCUGGAGGUGGACACUUCAUCCAUCACUGAGUCCUACACCCCAGCAGGGUCCCGGAACCCCUCCCAGGGCAGCCAAGCUCUGUGGGACACAGCUCAGAAAUUAAUCCAGCACUUCCUGAGCAAGGCUGCGCUGGAGGUGCAGGGGUGCCCCCAGCAGCCAGAGGAGCAGCACAAGCUGGGACAAAGCCCGGCUGCAGACGUGGCACCAGCAGUUGCAGCCCAGGCCGUGUCCCCAGGGGCAGAGGGCAGUGAAGCCCCCAGGGCUGUCCCCGGGAAACGUCCCUCCCUGUUGAGGCGCACGCUCCGCGCUGUGCACAGGCUGUUCCGCUGGCCCCGCAGGCCGGCACAGCCGCACCAUUAGGCCCCGCUCCAGCGCCAGGCCCGGCCCAGACAGCGCAGGGCGGGCAGCGCUUUGCCGGGACCGACAUCUCCCGCAGACCAGCACAGCACGGAACAGCACAGGCGCCGCAACGAGGCCAAGAAGCGACCACAGACUGGAGGGGGAUCGAGAGCCCCAGAGACCCCCAGACCUCAGAC
rnacentral:lncRNA from 1 species